GGUUGGGCCCCAUGCGACGAUCAUGGCCAAAACCCCGCCAGGGCCGGAAGGCAGCAACGGUAUGGCUGGCGGUCGGGCGCCGUGGGUGUCCUGGCCUUU
rnacentral:SRP_RNA from 1 species